rnacentral:rRNA from 1 species
CUACGUGCCAGCAGCCGCGGUAAUACGGAGGGUGCGAGCGUUAAUCGGAAUAACUGGGCGUAAAGGGCACGCAGGCGGUGACUUAAGUGAGAUGUGAAAGCCCCGAGCUUAACUUGGGAAUUGCAUUUCAUACUGGGUCGCUAGAGUACUUUAGGGAGGGGUAGAAUUCCACGUGUAGCGGUGAAAUGCGUAGAGAUGUGGAGGAAUACCGAAGGCGAAGGCAGCCCCUUGGGAAUGUACUGACGCUCAUGUGCGAAAGCGUGGGGAGCAAACAGGAUUAGAUACCCUGGUAGUCCACGCUGUAAACGAUGUCGAUUUGGGGAUUGGACUUUGAGCUUGGUGCCCGUAGCUAACGUGAUAAAUCGACCGCCUGGGGAGUACGGCCGCAAGGUUAAAACUCAAAUGAAUUGACGGGGGCCCGCACAAGCGGUGGAGCAUGUGGUUUAAUUCGAUGCAACGCGAAGAACCUUACCUACUCUUGACAUCCAUGGAAUCUUGUAGAGAUAUGAGAGUGC